CCUAGAAGCAUUGCAGGUGUGACUGCUGUGUCAGGGAGGAGAGAGGCUGUGUCUAUGCUCAGUGUUCUGAUCUGUGAACAUCUGAGUGAUUAUUAGCCUAACACC
rnacentral:snoRNA from 1 species